GACGAACGCUGGCGGCGUGCUUAACACAUGCAAGUCGAACGGAAAGGCCCUGCUUGCAGGGUACUCGAGUGGCGAACGGGUGAGUAACACGUGGGUGAUCUGCCCUGCACUUCGGGAUAAGCCUGGGAAACUGGGUCUAAUACCGGAUAGGAGCCAUUUUUAGUGUGAUGGUUGGAAAGUUUUUUCGGUGUAGGAUGAGCUCGCGGGCUAUCAGCUUGUUGGUGGGGUAAUGGCCUACCAAGGCGGCGACGGGUAGCCGGCCUGAGAGGGUGGACGGCCACAUUGGGACUGAGAUACGGCCCCGACUCCUACGGGAGGCAGAAGUGGGGAAUAUUGCACAAGGGGCGCAAGCCUGAUGCAGCGACGCCGCGUGGGGGAUGACGGCCUUCGGGUUGUAAACUCCUUUCGCUAGGGACGAAGCUUUUUGUGACGGUACCUAGAUAAGAAGCACCGGCUAACUACGUG
rnacentral:rRNA from 1 species